rnacentral:rRNA from 1 species
UACGUAGGGGGCAAGCGUUGUCCGGAAUCAUUGGGCGUAAAGCGCGUGUAGGCGGUCCGAUCAGUCGGCUGUGAAAGUCCAGGGCUCAACCCUGGGAUGCCGGUCGAUACUGUCGGGCUAGAGUCCGGAAGAGGCGAGUGGAAUUCCCGGUGUAGCGGUGAAAUGCGCAGAUAUCGGGAGGAACACCAAUGGCGAAGGCAGCUCUCUGGGACGGUACUGACGCUGAGACGCGAAAGCGUGGGGAGCGAACAGG